GACGAACGCUGGCGGCGUGCUUAACACAUGCAAGUCGAACGAUGAAGAAGAGCUUGCUCUUCGGAUUAGUGGCGAACGGGUGAGUAACACGUGACUAACCUGCCCCUUUCUCUGGGAUGACGCUCCGAAAGGAGUGCUAAUACCGGAUACUCACAUCGAGGCACAUGCCUUGAUGUGGAACGUUUUUCGGAAAGGGAUGGAGUCGCGGCCUAUCAGCUUGUUGGUGAGGUAACGGCUCACCAAGGCGACGACGGGUAGCCGGCCUGAGAGGGCGACCGGCCACACUGGGACUGAGACACGGCCCAGACUCCUACGGGAGGCAGCAGUGGGGAAUAUUGCACAAUGGGCGAAAGCCUGAUGCAGCGACGCCGCGUGAGGGAUGAAGGUCUUCGGAUUGUAAACCUCUUUCAGUAGGGACGAAGCGAAAGUGACGGUACCUAAAGAAGAAGCACCGGCUAACUACGUGCCAGCCGCCGCAGUAA
rnacentral:rRNA from 1 species